AUGGACUCGGAGCACUGGAUCUCGCGCCUCGCCGCCGCCAAGCGCUUCUAUGCCGCGCAGCUCGGCCACAUCGACGAUAUGUCGGGGAUGGGGAUGGAGGAAGUGGACAUGGACAUGGAGGACGACGGGGAGAUGGACAUGGAGAUGGAGAUGCAGAUGGAGGAGGCAAGAUGGCCGGAGGUCGCCUGCCCCUACUGCUACGAGGACUACGACCUCGGCUCCCUCUGCGUCCACCUCGAGGAGGACCACCCCUACGAGCCACACCCCGCGCCUUGCCCCAUCUGCUCUGAAAAGAUUACAAGAGAUAUGCUAAAUCAUAUCACCAUGCAUCAUGGUUACUUGUUCAAGAAUGUCAGCCGGUUGCGCAGAUUCGUUAUUCCCGAGCGCCGUGCACUUCCUUUACUGAGCCGAGAUCUACGUGAUGCUCAUUUGCAGGCGCUUCUAGGAGGCGGUCAUAGUCAUAGGUCAAGGAACACCACCGCUGCCACUACAAAUAUUUAUGCUGAUCCACUGCUUUCAUCGUUUGGCCUGGGUUUUGCAACAUCAGAUGCCGAAGAACCAUCGAAAUCAUCAGUUCCGGUUCUCGAUGAUACUUCAAUUCUUAAGGAGGCACCUCCUCAACCUUGGGAAUCAAGUAUUGACUCGUCCCUCACAAGUGAGGAAAGGGAACAAAAGCGGAAACAAGCCACAAGCAGGGCGACCUUUGUGCAAGACCUGGUCCUCUCCACUUUAUUUGGAGACGACUGA
rnacentral:rRNA from 1 species